ACUCCGUACAGCAAAAGAUACGUCUGAGGAAAGAUAUAUUUGUUUCAAAAUUAUCUUUGUUUCCAAAGUAGGAUGAGAAGACAGGUUUGUUUAUUUACACCUCUGAGGGAAGUAACACUGAUCGUCGAGUCGGCGGAAAAUCAGUCCAGCGUAGGAGCGGAUAAGUCAAUAUUAGUCACAACGGCGCGGUCGUCGUUUCUGUUUGCCCAGAUACACGACAUAGAUUUCGUGGUGCAGACAAUCACCGAACUCCUCGCAAAAUCUAAACUCAUUUUAGUUAUGUUUUACAUUUUCUAACAAAUAUAAAAAUGUAGAUACAACAAUACUAAUUAUAAUCUCAUUCCAGAACAAGAGAUAACGUGUAUUUUCCGAACUCCUCGGGCAGUAAUGUCAGCAAUUGCAAGGAAGUAAAGCUUGUGGAACAGUGGAAGUCGCAAUCGCCGUUGAUGAUAUUCAAGGCCCCGAAGCCGCGUUGAAGCAAGAGGGUAAGAAAAAGCAGUGGGAGCUCACAUAUUUUCUGUUGUUAUAUCUUUCAGCACAUGGAAAGGAUGGGACGGGUAAAACGGAAUAUACCUGAACCUGAAACAAAUAUAGCUGGAUAUAAGUAUUGUAUGGCAAUGUUAUCGUUUCUACAUGAUGAAAAAGAAAAUUUAGAUAAAACCAAAAUAAUGCAGAUGACGUUAAUUCAUGAUUUUGCCGAAUGUAUUGUGGAAGACAUAACAAUCUGAUAGUGGCAU